rnacentral:rRNA from 1 species
CGGAGGAUCCGAGCGUUAUCCGGAUUUAUUGGGUUUAAAGGGUGCGCAGGCAGAAUAUUAAGUCGGCGGUGAAAGUUUGCAGCUUAACUGUAAAAUUGCCGUUGAAACUGGUUUUCUUGAGUGUAUAUGAAGUAGGCGGAAUUUGUAGUGUAGCGGUGAAAUGCAUAGAUAUUACAAGGAACUCCGAUUGCGAAGGCAGCUUACUAAAAUACAACUGACGCUCAGGCGCGAAGGCGUGGGUAUCAAACAGGAUUAGAUACCCUGGUAGUCCCU